CCCCCAGACAGGGAGGGGAGGGGAGGCGCAAACAUGUAGUGACUGGAAGCGCGGCAUGAGGUGACAGGUGUCACGGUGGUCUUGUGUUGAUGUGGAUAUUGUUUUGUGUCAGGGGUGGGCGGAAAUGAUCGACUUUGAAGAGAAUGCUGCAAGAUAUGGAUGCUUUUUACGGUACGUCGAACUGGAAUGUCAUCAGGCCUGACACUCCAGUAGGCCUGACACGCGAAUGAUACCUUCCCUCCUUUCAAAUGGACACGGAAUAUGCAUGAAACAUUGAAUGAGAUUGAAGAUUGAUCAUUUGUCUAAAUGCUCCUGCUUAGUUGAGCGGCUGAUUGACACACCUCCCAGAUACCCGGACGAAUUUUUAAGAUCAAUUGUACUGCCAACAUCUACAAUCAUUGCAAGACUGCAAUAAAGAACCGAGUAGUAGCCGAGCUUGCAACGAACAUUGUGCGUCAUGUGUGAUAACCGUUCGAACCGUUCAAUAAACUAGCCCUUAAGUGGGAACAACCGAAAAAAAAA